GACGAACGCUGGCGGCGUGCUUAACACAUGCAAGUCGAACGGAAAGGCCCUGCUUUUGUGGGGUGCUCGAGUGGCGAACGGGUGAGUAACACGUGAGUAACCUGCCCUUGACUUUGGGAUAACUUCAGGAAACUGGGGCUAAUACCGGAUAGGAGCUCCUGCUGCAUGGUGGGGGUUGGAAAGUUUCGGCGGUUGGGGAUGGACUCGCGGCUUAUCAGCUUGUUGGUGGGGUAGUGGCUUACCAAGGCUUUGACGGGUAGCCGGCCUGGGAGGGUGACCGGCCACAUUGGGACUGCGAUACGGCCCAGACUCCUACGGGAGGCAGCAGUGGGGAAUAUUGCACAAUGGGAGGAAGCCUGAUGAAGAAACGCCGCGUGCGGGAUGACGGCCUUCGGGUUGUAAACCGCUUUCGCCUGUGACGAAGCGUGAGUGACGGUAAUGGGUAAAGAAGCACCGGCUAACUACGUG
rnacentral:rRNA from 1 species